GAUGAACGCUGGCGGCGUGCCUAAUACAUGCAAGUCGAGCGAAUGGAUUAAGAGCUUGCUCUUAUGAAGUUAGCGGCGGACGGGUGAGUAACACGUGGGUAACCUGCCCAUAAGACUGGGAUAACUCCGGGAAACCGGGGCUAAUACCGGAUAACAUUUUGAACCGCAUGGUUCGAAAUUGAAAGGCGGCUUCGGCUGUCAAUUAUGGAUGGACCCGGGUCGCAUUAGCUAGUUGGUGAGGUAACGGCUCACCAAGGCAACGAUGCGUAGCCGACCUGAGAGGGUGAUCGGCCACACUGGGACUGAGACACGGCCCAGACUCCUACGGGAGGCAGCAGUAGGGAAUCUUCCGGAAUGGACGAAAGUCUGACGGAGCAACGCCGCGUGAGUGAUGAAGGCUUUCGGGUCGUAAAACUCUGUUGUUAGGGAAGAACAAGUGCUAGUUGAAUAAGCUGGCACCUUGACGGUACCUAACCAGAAAGCCACGGCUAACUACGUGCCAGCAGCCGCCGUAA
rnacentral:rRNA from 1 species